AGGAUCACCCAUCGCUUUGGAUAUAUCUAUCCUGUACAUAAUCUAGGUCACCUUUGCAGCAGCUCCAUCUUCAGGUCUCCCCUGCCCUUAACAAAUGGAACCCACAAACAUGGACAGCACAGCCCUCCCCGCUACAUAGUUUUAGUGAAUCCUGUCCAGCAGAGAUUGUCUUCACGAAACACUGUUUCAGAUGUUCAUAGAGCAUGAGGGGGAAUGAGAACUGA